rnacentral:misc_RNA from 1 species
CCGAGUCCUGGCAAGCGUUCACACGCAUUACUUGAUACUGUCCUUCUCUUUGAGAAAUCAGUAUUUUGUCGCUCUUUAAAAAUUUGGAUCUGAAAAAGUCGUGCUGACUGACCUGCUCUAGCCGGGUAGGGAGUUAGCACAAGAUUGUCUUGUAUUGUUUUGAUACAAGCGCCAACCGGCGUAAUCAAUCGUUACGAACCAUUCAGUUGAUCAGACACCU